rnacentral:tRNA from 1 species
GGCCAGGUAGCUCAGUUGGUAGAGCAGGGGACUGAAAAUCCUCGUGUCGGCGGUUCAAUUCCGUCCCUGGCCA